ACGGACCGUGGGUGCGGGACUCCGGAGAGGGAGCCUGAGAAACGGCUACCACAUCCAAGGAAGGCAGCAGGCGCGCAACUUGCCCAAUCCAGACUCUGGGAGGCAGUGACAAGAAAUAUCAAUAGGGGAUCCUAUGGGUCUUCUAAUUGGAAUGAGAACAAGCUAAACAGCUUAUCGAGAAUCCAGCAGAGGGCAAGUCUGGUGCCAGCAGCCGCGGUAAUUCCAGCUCUGUAAGCGUAUACCAAAGUUGUUGCAGUUAAAACGCUCGUAGUCGGAAUUUGGCAGUUCCGGAUGUGAGCACAUCGUGUGCGCACUUUGCGGGGACUGCUUUUGUGGACUGGCGUCGGAUGAGGCACUUUUAGUAGUGAGCGUCCGUACGCAGCCACUCUUUACUGUGAGAAAAUCAGAGUGCUCAAAGCAGGCAUUUGCCGUGAAUGUAUUAGCAUGGAAUAAUAGAAUAGGACUUGGUUCUAUUUUGUUGGUUUGUUGGGGCUGAGUAAUGAUUAAGAGGGACAGUUGGGGGCAUUUGUAUUUCGGCGCUAGAGGUGAAAUUCUUAGAUUGCCGAAAGACAAACUGCUGCGAAAGCGUCUGCCAAGGAUGUUUUCAUUGAUCAAGAACGAAAGUAAGGGGAUCGAAGACGAUCAGAUACCGUCGUAGUCUUUACUAUAAACGAUGAGGACUGGGGAUCGGGCGAGGGAUUACGAUGACCCGCCCGGCACCCUUCGAGAAAUCAAAGUGUUUGCUUUCUGGGGGGAGUAUGGUCGCAAGGCUGAAACU
rnacentral:rRNA from 1 species